UGCAUCUUUGGCCUCUUUUGGGCGGGAUCCGACACCUCUUGAAGGCUACGAUAGGUUCACCUUCCCAACUCCUACUCAAUACGUCCGCGACGUGCAGAACGGUAACUUGUCGCCCGUAAAUUAAAGCGAAUGUACACGAGGAAACCAAACCCCUUAAGUAAACUCCAGUGUC
rnacentral:ribozyme from 1 species